rnacentral:antisense_RNA from 17 species
GGGUUUUUCUGCUCAUUAUUAGCUCCUUCUGAUGCCAUUCUAUUUCAGGAAGGAGUGUCCGUUAAACUCAGGCUACCUCAGUUUGUUAUCCUGUCGUGUGGCAGAAGGACAAAAGCCCCGUAGUUAAUUUUCAUUAACCCACGAGGCCUCUGCAUGUCUAGUCCACGUUAGUAUGGCCUCUUACCGUGCAAAUUGCAAGGAGGAGUAAACCAUG